rnacentral:lncRNA from 1 species
GAAGAGUAGUCCUUUGAAGGACUGUUGGAACAUGCAUGGAGCUGACCACUGUGGACAGCAUGGUAGUGUGCUGCUGGAUCGAUGGUGUCACUCCUUGUUGAGGUUGGGGGUAGAAAGGGAACUCCACAUGAGAAUUCAUUGGUGGUGGGAUCGGUGGAGGCUCCAUUGUCCAGUGGUGUUGCAUGAAAGCAUCCAAAUCCAAUCUCAUUCCCUUCAUUAUUAUUUGUGCCAGAUCCGCCGGGUGUUGUAUCAUCACUACAACUACUUCCUCAUUGAUAUGGAGGUUGAAAGUUCAAGCAUAACCCGCUGGGCCCAUUUCUAGCCAA